ACGGGGUGCAGCAGGCGCGAAACCUCCGCAAUGCGAGCAAUCGCGACGGGGGAAACCCAAGUGCCACUCUUAACGGGGUGGCUUUUCUGAAGUGUAAAAAGCUCCAGGAAUAAGAGCUGGGCAAGACCGGUGCCAGCCGCCGCGGUAACACCGGCAGCUCAAGUGGUGGCCGUUUUUAUUGGGCCUAAAGCGUUCGUAGCCGGUUUGAUAAGUCUCUGGUGAAAUCCCACAGCUUAACUGUGGGAAUUGCUGGAGAUACUAUCAGGCUUGAGGCCGGGAGAGGCUGGAGGUACUCCCGGGG
rnacentral:rRNA from 1 species